AGAACGAACGCUGGCGGCAGGCCUCAAACAUGCAAGUCUAGGGGAUGUAGCAAUACAUCACCGGCGGACGGGUGCGUAACACGUGGGAAUAUACCUUUCGGUACGGAACAACUGCGGGAAACUGCAGCUAAUACCGUAUACGUCCUUACGGAGAAAGAUUUAUCGCCGAAGGAUUAGCCCGCGUUCGAUUAGCUAGUUGGUGAGGUAAUGGCUCACCAAGGCGACGAUCGAUAGCUGUUCUGAGAGGAAGAUCAGCCACACUGGGACUGAGACACGGCCCAGACUCCUACGGGAGGCAGCAGUUGGGAAUCUUGGACAAUGGGGGAAACCCUGAUCCAGCCAUGCCGCGUGAGUGAUGAAGGCCUUCGGGUUGUAAAGCUCUUUUACCCGGGAAGAUAAUGACUGUACCGGGAGAAUAAGCUCCGGCUAACUUCGUGCCAGCAGCCGC
rnacentral:rRNA from 1 species